UACAGAGGUCUCAAGCGUUGUUCGGAUUCAUUGGGCGUAAAGGGUGCGUAGGCGGCGCGGUAAGUCGGGUGUGAAAUCUCGGAGCUUAACUCCGAAACUGCAUUCGAUACUGCCGUGCUUGAGGACUGGAGAGGAGACUGGAAUUUACGGUGUAGCGGUGAAAUGCGUAGAUAUCAGGAGGAACACCGGUGGCGAAGGCGCUCAUCUGGCCCAAUACUGACGCUGAGGCGCGAAAGCGUGGGGAGCGAACCGG
rnacentral:rRNA from 1 species